rnacentral:rRNA from 1 species
CGGGGUGCACCAGGCGCGAAAACUCUACAAUGCAGGCAACUGCGAUAGGGGGACAUCGAGUGGCAUCCACCUUGGGUGCCUGUCCAACCGUCUAAAAAACGGUUGUUAGCAAGGGCCGGGUAAGACCGGUGCCAGCCGCCGCGGUAAUACCGGCGGCUCGAGUGGUGGCCGAUAUUAUUGAGUCUAAAGGGUCCGUAGCCGGCUUUGCAAGUCCCCUGGGAAAUCCAGCGGCUUAACCGUUGGGCUUUCAUGGGAUACUACAUUGCUUGGGACUGGGAGAGGUAGGAGGUACUCGGGGGGUAGGGGUGAAAUCCUGUAAUCCUCCGGGGACCACCGGUGGCGAAGGCGUCCUACCAGAACAGGUCCGGCGGUGAGGGACGAAAGCUAGGGGCACGAACCGGAUUAGAUACCCGGGUAGUCCUAGCCGUAAACGAUGCCCGCUAGGUGUCACGACGGUCGUGAAUCGUCGUGGUGCCGUAGGGAAGCCGCGAAGCGGGCCACUUGGGAAGUACGGCCGCAAGGCUGAAACUUAAAGGAAUUGGCGGGGGAGCACAAGGGCGAUUGCGG